rnacentral:rRNA from 1 species
UCGGGAAUUUUGGGCAAUGGGCGCAAGCCUGAUGACGCAACGCCGCGUGGGGGAUGAAGGUCUUCGGAUCGUAAACCCCUGUCGAAUGGGACGAAAGACUCGCGAGUGAAUACUUCGCGAGAGUGACGGUACCGUUAAAGGAAGCCACGGCUAACUCUGUGCCAGCAGCCGCGGUAAUACAGAGGUGGCAAGCGUUGUUCGGAAUUACUGGGCGUAAAGGGCGCGUAGGCGGCCCUCUAAGUCAGACGUGAAAUCCCCCGGCUUAACCUGGGAACUGCGUCUGAUACUGGAGGGCUUGAGUAUGGUAGAGGGAUGUAGAAUUCCAGGUGUAGCGGUGAAAUGCGUAGAUAUCUGGAGGAAUACCGGUGGCGAAGGCGGUAUCCUGGACCAUUACUGACGCUGAGGCGCGAAAGCUAGGGGAGCAAACGGGAUUAGAUACCCAGGUAGUCCCUGAGCGGGCUGGCAAGGCGCAU